UACAGAGACUGCAAGCGUUAUUCGGAUUCACUGGGCGUAAAGGGUGCGCAGGCGGCCGAGUGUGUGAGUUGUGAAAGCCCGGGGCUUAACCCCGGAAUUGCACCUCAAACUACACGGCUAGAGCAUUGGAGAGGGUAGCAGAAUUCACGGUGUAGCAGUGAAAUGCGUAGAUAUCGUGAGGAAUACCAGAGGCGAAGGCGGCUACCUGGACAAUUGCUGACGCUCAGGCACGAAAGCGUGGGGGGCAAAAGGG
rnacentral:rRNA from 1 species